rnacentral:rRNA from 1 species
CCUACGGGAGGCUGCAGUGGGGAAUAUUGCACAAUGGGGGAAACCCUGAUGCAGCAACGCCGCGUUAGUGAUUACGGCCUUCGGGUUGUAAAGCUCUGUCUUCAGGGACGCUAAUGACGCUACCUGUUGCGGAAGCCACAGCUAACUACGUGCCCGCAGCCGCGGUAAUACGUAGUUGGCGAGCGUUGUCCGGAUUUACUGGGCGUAAAGGGAGCGUAUGCGGACUUUUAAGUGAGGUGUGAAAUACUCGGGCUCAACUUGAGUGCUGCAUUUCAAACUGGAAGUCUAGAGUGCAGGAGAGGAGAAUGGAAUUCCUAGUGUAGCGGUGAAAUGCGUAGAGAUUAGGAAGAACACCAGUGGCGAAGGCGAUUCUCUGGACUGUAACUGACGCUGAGGCUCGAAAGCGUGGGGAGCAAACAGGAUUAGAUACCCGAGUAGUC